rnacentral:tRNA from 1 species
CAGGGAGACAACAAAAUGUUUAAUAUUAUUAUUUUGUCACCUUAGGUCGAUCGGUAUCUCACGUUUUUAAUUUAUUAAGAAUUUCAUUUCCUAAGUUUUUCUAGGUCACACCCAUUAUUUUUCCUGGGCCAUUAGCUCAGGUGGUUAGAGCGCACCCCUGAUAAGGGUGAGGUCCCUGGUUCAAGUCCAGGAUGGCCCAUAUCUCUAUUUUGGGGGUAUAGCUCAGUUGGUAGAGCGCCUGCUUUGCAAGCAGGAUGUCAGCGGUUCGAGUCCGCUUACCUCCACUGAUUACCACCUCCAUAAUCUUUAGAUAGGAAAUGUUUUGAGUUGUGAUCAAAUUCUGAACGAAUCUAGCUUCCUAAUGUAAUCAUUAAGAUGCUGGACUCAUUGAAUUAAUUUUCAUUGUUUUCAGAGAACCUUGACAACUGCAUAGAUUAUUUUUAAAGACAAUAAGCAUCUUUAAUGGUGCAGAUUUAUUAUUUGUGCGAAUGCAUUAAUAACAAUUCUAUUAAGCUGAUGCUUCAAUUUUGAAGUUAUU